rnacentral:rRNA from 1 species
CCUACGGGAGGCAGCAGUGGGGAAUAUUGCGCAAUGGGCGAAAGCCUGACGCAGCGACGCCGCGUGAGGGAUGAAGGUCUUCGGAUCGUAAACCUCUGUCAGCAGGGAAGAACGGUCACUGUGCUAAUCAGCAGUGAAUUGACGGUACCUGCAAAGGAAGCACCGGCUAACUCCGUGCCAGCAGCCGCGGUAAUACGGAGGGUGCGAGCGUUAAUCGGAAUUACUGGGCGUAAAGCGCACGUAGGCGGUAUGUCAAGUCAAGGGUGAAAUCCCCGGGCUCAACGUGGGAACUGCCUUUGAAACUGGCAAACUGGAGUGUGUGAGAGGAUGGUGGAAUUCCAGGUGUAGGAGUGAAAUGCGUAGAUAUCUGGAGGAACAUCAGUGGCGAAGGCGACUAUCUGGCACAUAACUGACGCUGAGGAGCGAAAGCGUGGGUAGCAAACAGGAUUAGAUACCCUUGUAGUC